UACGGAGGGUGCAAGCGUUGCUCGGAAUUACUGGGCGUAAAGCGUGCGCAGGCGGCUUUGCAAGACAGAUGUGAAAUCCCCGGGCUCAACCUGGGAACUGCAUUUGUGACUGCAAGGCUAGAGUACGGUAGAGGGGGAUGGAAUUCCGCGUGUAGCAGUGAAAUGCGUAGAUAUGCGGAGGAACACCGAUGGCGAAGGCAAUCCCCUGGACCUGUACUGACGCUCAUGCACGAAAGCGUGGGGAGCAAACAGG
rnacentral:rRNA from 1 species